UUCUAGCCCUGAUAGAAGCGGUAUCCUUUUAUGGCGGGGUUCGCCAUAAAAGAUAUAGCGUAUAGCAGGAAGAAGC
rnacentral:sRNA from 1 species